GAUGAACGCUGGCGGCGUGCCUAAUACAUGCAAGUCGAGCGAACGGACGAGAAGCUUGCUUCUCUGAUGUUAGCGGCGGACGGGUGAGUAACACGUGGAUAACCUACCUAUAAGACUGGGAUAACUUCGGGAAACCGGAGCUAAUACCGGAUAAUAUUUUGAACCGCAUGGUUCAAAAGUGAAAGACGGUCUUGCUGUCACUUAUAGAUGGAUCCGCGCUGCAUUAGCUAGUUGGUAAGGUAACGGCUUACCAAGGCAACGAUGCAUAGCCGACCUGAGAGGGUGAUCGGCCACACUGGAGCGGAGACACGGUCCAGGCUCCUGCGGGAGGGAGCAGUAGGGGAUCGUCGGCAAUGGGCGAAAGCCUGACGGAGCAACGCCGCGUGAGUGAUGAAGGUCUUCGGAUCGUAAAACUCUGUUAUUAGGGAAGAACAUAUGUGUAAGUAACUGUGCACAUCUUGACGGUACCUAAUCAGAAAGCCACGGCUAACUACGUG
rnacentral:rRNA from 1 species